rnacentral:rRNA from 1 species
GUGUCAGCAGCCGCGGUAAAACGUAGGACGCGAGCGUUAUCCGGAUUUACUGGGCGUAAAGCGCAUGCAGGCGGCCUUGUAAGUCGGAUGUGAAAUCUCCCGGCUCAACUGGGAGGCGUCAUUCGAUACUGCAAGGCUUGAGGGCAGGAGAGGGGAGUGGAAUUCCCGGUGUAGUGGUGAAAUGCGUAGAUAUCGGGAGGAACACCAGUGGCGAAGGCGGCUCCCUGGCCUGUACCUGACGCUAAGAUGCGAAAGCUUGGGGAGCGAACGGGAUUAGAAACCCCGGUAGUCCACGCCGUAAACGAUGCGGACUAGGUGUGGGAGGUAUUGACCCCUUCCGUGCCGUAGCUAACGCGUUAAGUCCGCCGCCUGGGGACUACGGCCGCAAGGCUAAAACUCAAAGGAAUUGGCGGGG